UUAUAAUACAUCUUAUAAAAUCUAAACUUCAAUACAAUACCAAACAAAAACCAUAUUCUUUAAAAUCUUAAAAUCUUAAUUACACACUAACUCUCCCUUAACAAUCAAAUAACAAUAAAAAAACCACUUACUAUUUCAAAACCUUAAAUUCCUAAUUUCGCAAAAAUCAAAACUAUUACUUACCUCCCAAAUAUCCACAAAAAAUCACAAAAAAUAAAAUAUAAA
rnacentral:misc_RNA from 1 species